rnacentral:rRNA from 1 species
GAUGAACGCUAGCGGCAGGCCUAAUACAUGCAAGACGAGGGGUUAGCAAUAACACCGUCGCACGGGUGCGUAACGCGUAUGCAACCUACCUAUCACAGGGGGAUAGCCUUUGGAAACAGGGAUUAAUACCGCAUAAAGCAGGGUCUUGGCAUCAAGAUACUGCUAAAGAUUUAUCGGUGAUAGAUGGGCAUGCGUCUGAUUAGUUAGAUGGUGCGGUAACGGCGUACCAUGGCGAUGAUCAGUAGGGGGCGUCAGAGCGUGGUCCCCCACACUGGCACUGAGAUACGGGCCAGACUCCUACGGGAGGCAGCAGUAGGGAAUAUUGGGCAAUGGAUGCAAGUCUGACCCAGCCAUGCCGCGUGGAGGAAGAAGGUCCUCUGGAUUGUAAACUCCUUUUUCGGGGUAAGAAUAGGUCUCUUGCGAGGGAUUGUGACGGUACCCGAAGAAUAAGCCACGGCUAACUACGUGCCAGCAGCCGCGGUAAACUCGUCU